UACGUAGGGUGCAAGCGUUAAUCGGAAUUACUGGGCGUAAAGCGUGCGCAGGCGGUUGUGCAAGACAGAUGUGAAAUCCCCGGGCUCAACCUGGGAACUGCAUUUGUGACUGUACGGCUGGAGUGCGGCAGAGGGGGAUGGAAUUCCGCGUGUAGCAGUGAAAUGCGUAGAUAUGCGGAGGAACACCGAUGGCGAAGGCAAUCCCUGGGCCUGCACUGACGCUCAUGCACGAAAGCGUGGGGAGCAAACAGG
rnacentral:rRNA from 1 species